rnacentral:rRNA from 1 species
UACGGGAGGCAGCAGUGGGGAAUAUUGCACAAUGGGCGCAAGCCUGAUGCAGCCAUGCCGCGUGUAUGAAGAAGGCCUUCGGGUUGUAAAGUACUUUCAGUCGUGAGGAAGGUGUUAAGGUUAAUAACCUUAGCAAUUGACGUUAGCGACAGAAGAAGCACCGGCUAACUCCGUGCCAGCAGCCGCGGUAAUACGGAGGGUGCGAGCGUUAAUCGGAAUUACUGGGCGUAAAGGGCACGCAGGCGGUUAAUUAAGUUGGAUGUGAAAUCCCCGGGCUUAACCUGGGAAUGGCAUUCAAGACUGGUUAGCUAGAGUCUUGUAGAGGGGGUAGAAUUCCAUGUGUAGCGGUGAAAUGCGUAGAGAUGUGGAGGAAUACCGGUGGCGAAGGCGGCCCCUGGACAAAGACUGACGCUCAUGUGCGAAAGCGUGGGGAGCAAACG